CCUACGGGAGACAGCAGUGAGGAAUAUUGGUCAAUGGACGAGAGUCUGAACCAGCCAAGUAGCGUGAAGGAUGACUGCCCUAUGGGUUGUAAACUUCUUUUAUAUGGGAAUAAAAUGUUCCACGUGUGGGAUUUUGUAUGUACCAUAUGAAUAAGGAUCGGCUAACUCCGUGCCAGCAGCCGCGGUAAUACGGAGGAUCCGAGCGUUAUCCGGAUUUAUUGGGUUUAAAGGGAGCGUAGGUGGAUUGUUAAGUCAGUUGUGAAAGUUUGCGGCUCAACCGUAAAAUUGCAGUUGAAACUGGCAGUCUUGAGUACAGUAGAGGUGGGCGGAAUUCGUGGUGUAGCGGUGAAAUGCUUAGAUAUCACGAAGAACUCCGAUUGCGAAGGCAGUUCACUGGACUGCAACUGACACUGAGGCUCGAAAGUGUGGGUAUCAAACAGGAGUAGAUACCCGAGUAGUC
rnacentral:rRNA from 1 species